rnacentral:rRNA from 1 species
UACGAAGGGGGCUAGCGUUGCUCGGAAUCACUGGGCGUAAAGGGUGCGUAGGCGGGUCUUUAAGUCAGGGGUGAAAUCCUGGAGCUCAACUCCAGAACUGCCUUUGAUACUGAGGAUCUUGAGUUCGGGAGAGGUGAGUGGAACUGCGAGUGUUGAGGUGAAAUUCGUAGAUAUUCGCAAGAACACCAGUGGCGAAGGCGGCUCACUGGCCCGAUACUGACGCUGAGGCACGAAAGCGUGGGGAGCAAACAGG